rnacentral:rRNA from 1 species
ACGAGAGGCCCUAGUUGAUAUUACAACGGCGUAAAGGGUGGUUAAGGAUAAACAAAAAUAAAGUCAAAUGGCCCCUUGGCCGUCAUACGCUUCUAGGAGUCCGAAGCCCUAAUACGAAAGUAACUUUAAUAAACCCACCUGACCCCACGAAAGCUGAGAAACAAACUGGGAUUAGAUACCCCACUAUG